UCCUGGGAUAACACUGACGUUCAUGCUCGAAAGCGUGGGUAGCAAACAGGAUUAGAUACCCUGGUAGUCCACGCCCUAAACGAUGUCAAUUAGCUGUUGGGCAACUUGAUUGCUUAGUAGCGUAGCUAACGCGUGAAAUUGACCGCCUGGGGAGUACGGUCGCAAGAUUAAAACUCAAAGGAAUUGACGGGGACCCGCACAAGCGGUGGAUGAUGUGGAUUAAUUCGAUGCAACGCGAAGAACCUUACCUGGUCUUGACAUGUAUGGAAUCCUCCAGAGACGGAGGAGUGCCUUCGGGAGCCGUAACACAGGUGCUGCAUGGCUGUCGUCAGCUCGUGUCGUGAGAUGUUGGGUUAAGUCCCGCAACGAGCGCAACCCUUGUCAUUAGUUGCCAUCAUUUAGUUGGGCACUCUAAUGAGACUGCCGGUGACAAGCCGGAGGAAGGUGGGGAUGACGUCAAGUCCUCAUGGCCCUUAUGACCAGGGCUUCACACGUCAUACAAUGGUCGGUACAGAGGGUAGCCAAGCCGCGAGGUGGAGCCAAUCUCACAAAACCGAUCGUAGUCCGGAUUGCACUCUGCAACUCGAGUGCAUGAAGUCGGAAUCGCUAGUAAUCGCAGGUCAGCAUACUGCGGUGAAUACGUUCCCGGGUCUUGUACACACCGCCCGUCACACCAUGGGAGUGGGGGAUACCAGAAGUAGGUAGGGUAACCGCAAGGAGCCCGCUUACCACGGUAUGCUUCAUGACUGGGGUGAAGUCGUAACAAGGUAGCCGUAGGGGAACC
rnacentral:rRNA from 1 species